CCUACGGGUGGCUGCAGUGGGGAAUAUUGGACAAUGGGGGGAACCCUGAUCCAGCCAUGCCGCGGGUGUGAAGAAGGCCCUCGGGUUGUAAAGCACUUUCAGUGAGGAAGAACGCCUGGUGGUUAAUACCCAUCAGGAAAGACAUCACUCACAGAAGAAGCACCGGCUAACUCCGUGCCAGCAGCCGCGGUAAUACGGAGGGUGCGAGCGUUAAUCGGAAUUACUGGGCGUAAAGCGCGCGUAGGUGGCUUGAUAAGCCGGUUGUGAAAGCCCCGGGCUCAACCUGGGAACGGCAUCCGGAACUGUCAAGCUAGAGUGCAGGAGAGGAAGGUAGAAUUCCCGGUGUAGCGGUGAAAUGCGUAGAGAUCGGGAGGAAUACCAGUGGCGAAGGCGGCCUUCUGGACUGACACUGACACUGAGGUGCGAAAGCGUGGGUAGCAAACAGGAUUAGAUACCCUGGUAGUC
rnacentral:rRNA from 1 species